rnacentral:rRNA from 1 species
GACGAACGCUGGCGGCGUGCUUAGCACAUGCAAGUCGAACGGAAAGGCCCUGCUUUUGUGGGGUGCUCGAGUGGCGAACGGGUGAGUAACACGUGAGUAACCUGCCCUUGACUUUGGGAUAACUUCAGGAAACUGGGGCUAAUACCGGAUAGGAGCUCCUGCUGCAUGGUGGGGGUUGGAAAGUUUCGGCGGUUGGGGAUGGACACGCGGCUUAUCAGCUUGUUGGUGGGGUAGUGGCUUACCAAGGCUUUGACGGGUAGCCGGCCUGAGAGGGUGACCGGCCACAUUGGGGCUGAGAUACGGCCCAGACUCCUACGGGAGGCAGCAGUGGGGAAUAUUGCACAAUGGGCGGAAGCCUGAUGCAGCAACGCCGCGUGCGGGAUGACGGCCUUCGGGUUGUAAACCGCUUUCGCCUGUGACGAAGCGUGAGUGACGGUAAUGGGUAAAGAAGCACCGGCUAACUACGUG